GUCUCACUUUAGGACUAAAACUAAACCUAAAUCAGAGAAGUAACCAAUGUGUACAUUUCUUAGAUGUAGAUCUAACUAUAAUGCAAGCUGAGUAUAUAACAAUCAUAUAUAAAAAGUCCACAUAUAAUCCUAUCCCAAUACCUGCCUGGUCUGAUGAUAUGUGAUGCACAGGGGAGCGGCUUUCAAUGUGUAUUUCAAGAGACUUCACUCACUGCUUAACGUUCAUGGCAAAAUAUAAUGAGCUAGAAAAAAUCAUAUCAGAUGGUUAUGUGUUUUAUUACAGUAUUGCAGAAAAUAUAUGGUCAAAAUAUCAGAAGAUUGAAAAUAAACAUUAUUACAACAUACCAACUAUUACUAGAGCACACCAUCAUCAUCCUGUUGUAAGGAUUCACAACAGGUUAUGUCAGAUGAAACAAGUUUGGAUUUAUAACAAAAUUUGGAAUAUGGCACGUAGAUAAGUGGCACAGGGAUUCAGGGAAGGAAGACUGACACAAAAAUUAGUAUUACAAGCAAAGUGGUUUAUUUACAGCAAGAAUAGAUAAAAAAGUUUACAAAAAUAUACCAAUAUAAAGCCAAUAGAAUUAAGCACUAGAGGAUACAGAUUUCAGAAAUGAAAGAGAGAAAUCGAAUGUACACAAAUAUGUAGUACCUGGGAAAGAAAGUCUUGUAUUUGAUGGAGUUUUCAGAUUGUUCAGUGGCAGAAGGUAGCCAUAGAUGCUGUUCUAGAUCUUCAAUCUUUGGAAGUUGCAAUUGACUUAUAUCAUGUCAGAACAGCCGGG
rnacentral:lncRNA from 1 species